AGAGACUCAGCUGUGUACAAGUUCAUGUUCACAACAAACCAAGAAGGUGGAAGAUAUACCGGUUCACCUGGAGUCACUUUGUCUGUCACAGCAGGUCUCCAGGUGAUAUCACAUUCUAACAGGCUGGAGUGUCGGAGCAGUUGUCGUCUACCUAAUAAUCCUUCCUAUGUCUGGUACAAGAAUGGACAGGAAAUUCAGGCACAAACAUCUUAUUAUUUAAACCCUGUGUAUAAUUCAGACAGCUAUUCCUGUGCUCUUCAAGGAUAUAAGGAUUUCCCCUCUCCUUCAGUGUGUGUCCAAGGUGAAUCCUGCUACAGAGUGACGUACACUGACAGAAGCAUCUGUGUCUCCGAAGGCUCUUCAGUGGACAUUUCUUGCUUGUACAACAGCUACAAUUAUCCUGACAAAUCAACAUUC